UAAUAUUAUCCUUUUAUCCGGUUCACUAACACCUUACGAAUGAAGUUCUCAAAACGUACCCUAUUCGCGACACCUUGAGUAUAAUGUAAUAUUUGAUCCGGUAUUUACACGAUAUAAUAUUAUUAUCACGGCGUAUCGUUCUGAUCCGUAUACGACGGGCCGCGAAUGGCGGAUUCGUCUUUUUAAUAUACAGGGUGUCCCACAGUGUUGUCCUUUGCCAAUAAUAUUCUGUCGAUAUUCAUUUAUUUUUAAGUGGUUAUUUUUCCAAUCGGAGUUUUUCCGAGGGAAACACAUAAUGG